rnacentral:hammerhead_ribozyme from 1 species
AUCCAGGUGACGAGUCUCAAAUAGGACGAAACGCGAGUCCUGGAU